rnacentral:misc_RNA from 1 species
GAUGAAGAACGCAGCGAAAUGCGAUACUUGGUGUGAAUUGCAGAAUCCCGUGAACCAUCGAGUCUUUGAACGCAAGUUGCGCCCGAAGCCAUUAGGCCGAGGGCACGCCUGCCUGGGCGUCACACGUCGUUGCCCCCCCAUCUACUCCUUCGGGAUUGCGGGGGGCGGAUGAUGGCCUCCCGUGCGCCUCGCCGCGCGGUUGGCAUAAAUGCCAAGUCCUCGGCGACGCACGCCACGACAAUCGGUGGUUGCGAAACCUCGGUUGCCCGUCGUGUGCGUUCGUCGCGCAUCGAGGGCUCGAAAAAAUGCUCGGCUCCGGCUCGGCUUUCAACGCGACCCCAGGUCAGGCGGGGUUACCCGCUGAAUUUAAGCAUAUCAAUAAGCGGAGGA